rnacentral:rRNA from 1 species
GUGGGGAAUAUUGGGCAAUGGGCGAAAGCCUGACCCAGCAACGCCGCGUGAAGGAAGAAGGCUUUCGGGUUGUAAACUUCUUUUGUCAGGGACGAAAAAAAUGACGGUACCUGACGAAUAAGCCACGGCUAACUACGUGCCAGCAGCCGCGGUAAUACGUAGGUGGCAAGCGUUAUCCGGAUUUACUGGGUGUAAAGGGCGUGUAGGCGGGAAAGCAAGUCAGAUGUGAAAACUAUGGGCUCAACCCAUAGCCUGCAUUUGAAACUGUUUUUCUUGAGUACUGGAGAGGCAGAUGGAAUUCCUAGUGUAGCGGUGAAAUGCGUAGAUAUUAGGAGAAACACCAGUGGCGAAGGCGAUCUGCUGGACAGCAACUGACGCUGAGGCGCGAAAGCGUGGGGAGCAAACAGGAUUAGAAACCCGUGUAGUCC